rnacentral:tRNA from 1 species
GCGGACGUAGCUCAGUGGGUCAGAGCGCGAGUUUCCCAAACUCGAGGUCGCCGGUUCGAAGCCGGCCGUCCGCUCCA